GAUGAAGAACGCAGCGAAAUGCGAUAAGUAAUGUGAAUUGCAGAAUUCAGUGAAUCAUCGAAUCUUUGAACGCACAUUGCGCCCGCCAGUAUUCUGGCGGGCAUGCCUGUUCGAGCGUCAUUUCAACCCUCAGGCCCCGCCUGGCGUUGGGGAUCGGCGCGGCCCUCUCCGGGCUGCCGGCCCCGAAAACUAGUGGCGGUCUCGCUGUAGUCCUCCUCUGCGCAGUAGCAACGCUCGCACUGGAACUCGGCGCGGCCACGCCGUAAAACACCCCACUUCUGAAAGUUGACCUCGGAUCAGGUAGGAAUACCCGCUGAACUUAAGCAUAUCAAUAAGCGGAGA
rnacentral:misc_RNA from 1 species